UACGUAGGGUCCGAGCGUUGUCCGGAAUUACUGGGCGUAAAGAGCUCGUAGGCGGUCUGUCGCGUCUGCUGUGAAAAUCAGGGCUCAACCCUGGACCUGCAGUGGGUACGGGCAGACUAGAGUGCGGUAGGGGAGAUCGGAAUUCCUGGUGUAGCGGUGAAAUGCGCAGAUAUCAGGAGGAACACCUGUGGUGUAGACGGCUUUCUGGACCAUAGCUGACGCUGAGAUACGAAAGCUAGGGGAGCGAACGGG
rnacentral:rRNA from 1 species